rnacentral:misc_RNA from 1 species
ACAAAUUCCAAAACUCGUCGCAAACGCUUCAUUUUAUCGAGUGUCUUCCUGAACGGGCGGCAUGAGACUAAAUGGGGUUGUUGUUGGCAAAACAUUAACAGUUAUUAUUGACAACUAAUGGAGAACCAAUUAAAUUAAUUGUAAA